GGUAGUGUUGGCUUGGCGGUUAAGGCUCUGGGUUACUGACUGGAAGGUUGGGGGUUCAAGCCCCAGCACUACCA